GACGAACGCUGGCGGCGUGCUUAACACAUGCAAGUCGAACGGAAAGGCCCUGCUUUUGUGGGGUGCUCGAGUGGCGAACGGGUGAGUAACACGUGAGUAACCUGCCCUUGACUUUGGGAUAACUUCAGGAAACUGGGGCUAAUACCGGAUAGGAGCUCCUGCUGCAUGGUGGGCGUUGGAACGAUUCGGCGGUUGGGGAUGGACUCGCGGCUUAUCAUCUUGUUGGUGGGGUAGUGGCAUACCAAGGCAUUGACGGGUAGCCGGCCUGAGAGGGUGACGGGCCACAUUGGGGUAGAGAUACGGCCGGGACUGCUACGGGAGACAGCAGUGGGAAAUAUUGAACAAUGGGCGGAAGCGUGAUGGAGCAACGCCACGUGGGGGAUGACAGACUGCGGGUUGUAAACCACUUUCGGAUGUGACGAAACGUGAGUAACGAUAAUGGAUAAGGAAGCACCGGCUAACUACGUG
rnacentral:rRNA from 1 species